GGGGGGCAAGUAGAGUGGCGCACGGGUGAGUAACACGUAGGUAAUCUACCUUUGGAUUGGGAAUAACAACCGGAAACGGUUGCUAAUACCGAAUAAUGCAGCGGCACCUAAUGGUGACAGUUGUUAAAGCGGGGGAUCGAAAGACCUCGCGUCUAAAGAGGAGCCUGCGGCGGAUUAGCUAGUUGGUAAGGUAACGGCUUACCAAGGCGAUGAUCCGUAGCCGGCCUGAGAGGGCGGUCGGCCACACUGACACUGACAUACGGGUCAGACUCCUACGGGAGGCAGCAGUCGGGAAUUUUGGGCAAUGGGCGAAAGCCUGACCCAGCAACGCCGCGUGAAGGAUGAAAUCCCUCGGGAUGUAAACUUCGCAAGAACGGGAAGAAUGAGUGAGAGUUAAUAUCUCUUACGAUGACGGUACUGUUUGUAAGCUCCGGCUAACUCCGUGCCAGCAGCCGCGGUAAUACGGGGGGAGCAAGCGUUGUUCGGAUUUACUGGGCGUAAAGGGCGCGUAAGCGGCCACCGCAAGUCGACUGUGAAAUCUCCGGGCUUAACCCGGAAAGGUCAGCCGAUACUGCGGGGCUAGAGUGCAGAAGGGGCAACUGGAAUUCUCGGUGUACCGGUGAAAUGCGUAGAUAUCGAGAGGAACACCUGCGGCGAAGGCGGGUUGCUGGG
rnacentral:rRNA from 1 species